GAUGAACGCUGGCGGCGUGCCUAAUACAUGCAAGUCGAGCGAACAGACGAGGAGCUUGCUCCUCUGACGUUAGCGGCGGACGGGUGAGUAACACGUGGAUAACCUACCUAUAAGACUGGGAUAACUUCGGGAAACCGGAGCUAAUACCGGAUAAUAUAUUGAACCGCAUGGUUCAAUAGUGAAAGACGGUUUUGCUGUCACUUAUAGAUGGAUCCGCGCCGCAUUAGCUAGUUGGUAAGGUAACGGCUUACCAAGGCGACGAUGCGUAGCCGACCUGAGAGGGUGAUCGGCCACACUGGAGCUGGGACAGGGACCAGACGCCUGCGGGACGCAGCAGUAGGCAAUCGUCCGCAGUGGUCGGAAGCCUGAUGGAGCAACGCGACGUGAGAGAUGAAGGUCUUCGGAUCGGAAUACUCGGUUACUAGUGAAGAACAAAUGUGUAAGGAAAUAUGGAGGUCUUGACGGUAACGGAUCAGAAAGCAACGGCUAACUACGUG
rnacentral:rRNA from 1 species